GACGAACCGUACGAGCGUUAUUCGGAAUCACUGGGCUUAAAGGGUGCGUAGGCGGCGCGACAAGUUGGGUGUGAAAUCCCUCGGCUCAACCGAGGAACUGCGCCCAAAACUGUCGUGCUCGAGGGAGACAGAGGUGAGCGGAACUUAGGGUGGAGCGGUGAAAUGCGUUGAUAUCCGAAGGAACACCGGUGGCGAAAGCGGCUCACUGGGUCUCUUCUGACGCUGAGGCACGAAAGCUAGGGUAGCGAACGGG
rnacentral:rRNA from 1 species